rnacentral:rRNA from 1 species
CCUACGGGAGGCAGCAGUGGGGAAUAUUGCACAAUGGGGGAAACCCUGAUGCAGCGACGCCGCGUGAGUGAAGAAGUAAUUCGUUAUGUAAAGCUCUAUCAGCAGGGAAGAAAAUGACGGUACCUGAGGAAGAAGCCCCGGCUAACUACGUGCCAGCAGCCGCGGUAAUACGUAGGGGGCAAGCGUGAUCCGGAUUUACUGGGUGUAAAGGGAGCGGAGACGGCAGUGCAAGUCUGGAGUGAAAGCCGGGGGCUCAACCCCCGGACUGCUCUGGAAACUGUACGGCUGGAGUGCAGGAGAGGUAAGUGGAAUUCCUAGUGUAGCGGUGAAAUGCGUAGAUAUUAGGAGGAACACCGGUGGCGAAGGCGGCUUUCUGGACUGUAACUGACGUUGAGGCUCGAAAGCGUGGGGAGCAAACAGGAUUAGAUACCCGGGUAGUC